GGAGUAAGAAGCCUGCAAGGAGCAGAACAGAGGAGAAAAAAAAGGAGGGGUGAAAAGAAGAGCCCGUUUCUGCUCUAAUAUGGCUAUAAGCUUUGUUGAUGUCCUGGAAAGGGCUAAAAAGCAUUCUGUUUGUCUGGCAGCAAUAUCUGGGGGUGGCUUGCUCUCUGCUCCUUCUGGGGUGAGAUUUUAGCUUUAGCUUGAAGGACUCCCAUGUUUAUGUUUGCAGUUCCAGCUCCGUGGGCAGAUGAAGACAUUUCUGGUGUGCUCCCAUUUCUGGAGGUGCCCUGAAAGGAUGACUGUGUUGGCAGCACUCUUCCUGACUCCACUAAAUGCAAGGCUGCAGAUAAGCCAUAUGAAACACACUUAGGUCACUGACCAGACCGGGCUGAUGAAUAUUACAGCAACAACCUGAAAUCAGGGAUAUGCUCAGAACAGGGCCUGACCCUUCCUCUCCUGAAGCCCCACCAGUGCUCACCGUGAAGAACUGCAUGCUGUGAGUGCUGCCAGGCAUCUGCAGCCAAAGGAGGCUCCUGUGUACCACGGAGAGGUGAACGUCCUUAUUUCCCGAUGCCCUCAGAGCCCUCAGAUGCCCUCAGAGUGCC
ensembl:lncRNA